AUUGAACGCUGGCGGAAUGCUUUACACAUGCAAGUCGAACGGCAGCACGGGGGCAACCCUGGUGGCGAGUGGCGAACGGGUGAGUAAUACAUCGGAACGUGCCCGGUCGUGGGGGAUAACGUAGCGAAAGUUACGCUAAUACCGCAUACGAUCUGAGGAUGAAAGCGGAGGACCUUCGGGCCUCGCGCGAUCGGAGCGGCCGAUGUCAGAUUAGGUAGUUGGUGGGGUAAAGGCCUACCAAGCCGACGAUCUGUAGCUGGUCUGAGAGGACGACCAGCCACACUGGGACUGAGACACGGCCCAGACUCCUACGGGAGGCAGCAGUGGGGAAUUUUGGACAAUGGGCGCAAGCCUGAUCCAGCCAUUCCGCGUGCAGGACGAAGGCCUUCGGGUUGUAAACUGCUUUUGUAUGGAACGAAAAGGCUCUGGCUAAUACCUGGGGCUCAUGACGGUACCGUAAGAAUAAGCACCGGCUAACUACGUG
rnacentral:rRNA from 1 species